rnacentral:rRNA from 5 species
GACCCCAGGUCAGGCGGGACCACCCGCUGAGUUUAAGCAUAUCAAUAAGCGGAGGAA